rnacentral:rRNA from 1 species
CCAUCGUGAAACGUUACCUACAUCGUUGCUUCGGCGGGUGGCGGGCUUCGGCCCUGCCCUCGGCCCCUCUCGGGGGCCCGCCGGAGGUACACCAAACUCUUGAAUUUACAUGGCCUCUCUGAGUCUUCUGUACUGAAUAAGUCAAAACUUUCAACAACGGAUCUCUUGGUUCUGGCAUCGAUGAAGAACGCAGCGAAAUGCGAUAAGUAAUGUGAAUUGCAGAAUUCAGUGAAUCAUCGAAUCUUUGAACGCACAUUGCGCCCGCCAGUAUUCUGGCGGGCAUGCCUGUCCGAGCGUCAUUUCAACCAUCAAGCCCCCGGCUUGUGUUGGGGACCUGCGGCACACCCGCAGGCCCUGAAAACCAGUGGCGGGCUCGCUGUCCACACCGAGCGUAGUAGCAUAUCUUUGUCUCGCUCAGGGCGUGCGGCGGGUUCCGGCCGUGAAACCCACCUUCUCGAAGGUACCCAAAGGUUGACCUCGGAUCAGGUAGGAAGACCCGCUGAACUUAAGCAUAUCAAUAAGGCGGAAGAAA